AGAAGGUAAAGGAACUUUAGCUUUGAAAUUGCUCUGCUGUGAAAGUAGCUCUAAAUUUGCCUUCGCUAUUAGAUUUGAGACACUGGACUGUCUUGAAUAAUCAGAGUAUAUGAAACUGACUGCUAAUUUUUGUGUUCACUCUACCUUAUUAAUUGGGUGUUUCUGAUAGGGGCUCCAGAUUAAGUCAGCGUAGUCUAAUGAUGGGUUAAUAAGUGUCUUGUAGGCAUUUAAUUUGGCAUGUGGGGGAGGUUUACACAAAUUCCUUUCUAAAAAAAAGAUUUCGCCUUCGGCACUCUAACAUGGAGGAGAUAUGAGGUUCCCAGUUAAGGUUGGACACGAGGUUAAGGCCCAAGUAUUUUACCUGGUUCUAUUUGUCGAUUGCAUAGGCUUUAUAUCGUCUUGUAAGAGUUUGUUAUCAGAUUUGUCCGAAAUUUCACGGAGGAUAACAGUUAUCUGCAAAAAGGUAAAUAUUAGAACAAACGCCAUUGGGUAAAUCGUUAAUGUAAAUUAAGAAAAGAAGAGGGCCUAUGACUUAUCCUUGGGGCACACCAGAGUCUGCAGGAUUAGGUGGGGACAUAUGAUUGUUUGACACAACAUACUGUGACCGAUUAAGGAGAAAAUACACAAGCCAUGCAAACGGGUUAGGAUCAAGAUUAAGUUUGCUAAGUUUAAAUAGAAGCAAUUUAUGACACACUUUGUCAAAGGCCUUGGCAAAAUCAAAGAAAAACUCUGGGAAUUAAGCUUUGUCGAGAAGAAGGUGAAGGCUGUGAGUAAAAAAAAGAUGUUGAGUUUCGCAAGACACGUUUUCUCGGAAACCAUGUUGUGCUUUUGUGAAAAAUGAAUUAUUGUCUAAGUGCUCUUCUAAAUGUGAGUGCAAAAUAUGUUCAAGAACCUUGCAAGAAAUGCUGGUGAGGGAAAUGGGGUGGUAGUUGAGGGGCGAAUGUUUGCUACCGGACUUAUGAAGUGGGACCACCUCCCCGACCUUCCGCUCUGGAGGUAGCGGAUGGGUAUCUAAGGAUUGCUGAAAAAUUUUCUGAAGCAGAACAGAUGAAUAAACGACAGUAUUUUUGAGAAAUUUCACGUUAACCAAAUCAGCACCAGGACUUGAUGACAACUUCAGAUGUUUAAUUACAUUUUCGACCCCGAGAGGUUCAAUGAUAAAGCCCAUAGGUGGGUAAUUGCAACACUCGAGAGUUGGAAGCACAGGGUUACUACAUACGACAAAGUUGUUGCAGAACACAGAAUUAAGGAUAUGGGGUUAUACAUCUUCUGGUACCGGUGAACCACUAGAAUCAAUCAAUGUGACUGAAUUAUCUUUGGAAGGGUUAAUAACAUGCCAAAACUUUUUAGGGUCAUUCACAAGCAUUGUGGGCAAAGUGUGUACUUGGAAUGCCUUUUUGGCCAGUUUUAUAGCUUCUGUGAUCUGCCAGCGUCGCGGCGAGCCGUGAUUCGAGAAAAUAAUGAAGCAAAAGGAAACGUUUAACGCAGCUGACGUUUUCUCGGACCGCAACUCGUUCCUCGAGCAUACAGACCAGCUGACUACGAACCGAAUCCCUUUCCUGGUUCCUGGAUCAGCCCAAACAAGGAAGGUUGAACUAACGAAGGAGCAGCGAUGCGCGUGACCGUUGAAUAGAUGGUGACAACUGAACUCGUCUCGAGUUAAUCGCGCAGGCACCGAAUCGAUGAGAAAACUGGCCUUCACGCCGCUGAAGAUGCCGAUAACUGCUGCCAUCAAAGGAGUGAAAAAAUUUACAACCAUUCGACUCUGUGAAGAUGGAAUGGCAGCGAGAGCUGACGACAGUCAAAGCUCUCAACGAAAAGCAAAGUGCUUCACCCACUUAAGGGGAGUGCUUAACGCCUGGUUCACCUCCGCCGUGGGUAGGCCCGGCAUUGCACUACCUUUGGAUGGACCCACGUAUGCUGAGCACUCAACGCCUGCUUCACCUCCGCAGUGGGUGGGUCCAGUAUUGCACAUUAUUCGGGAUCGGCCCACGUAUGGGGAGUGCUUAAUGCCUGCUUCACCUCCGCCGCGGGUCGACCCGACUACAGUGUACUAGAAGAGUAGGCCCGACGGUAGUGCAAUACUGGGCCCACUGGCGGCGGAGUUGAAGCAGGCGUUUAGCACUCCCCAUACGUGGGCCCAUCCCAAAGAUUUCGAAGGGUGCGUUACAGGUUCACAAUGUGCAAAAAAGAAGUGAGGCGUGCAGACAGGACACAAGAGUUAAUCUCCGCAUCUGUCAAUAAAAGCCGACUCUUGCAGUUGUCCUUUAAUGCACUCAUUUACUGAAUUUAGCAACCCGUCAUGCGGCAAGGAAUAAUACAGGUCUUCGAUAUCCAUACUAAAAGCUGUACAAUCACCAGGAUUUUCCUCUCUCAAAUAUUGAACUAGUGCCUGAGAAUUACGUAAGCAAAAGGGGUCUGAAAAAACUAAUGAAGCUAAGCAGUUCUGUAGGAAACUAGCGACGCAGACCUGCCAUGCCCCUUUCUCUGACACUAUAGCACGAAACGGAAUUUCUUGUUUAUGGGUCUUGGCCGAGAAAAACAGUUCUAAGGUGAGGGAUUUAGCUUUCUUGACAUUACAGACAACCCUAUCAAGAUUAUGUCUUGACAAGAGGUCAACCGCACGUUGCAUGCUUAACUGCCGAAGGCUUGAGUUUUACUGACUGUAAAUUCUUUUCUAUGGCUGAAAUCGCUUUUUGUGAAAACAUGUCAUCUGGCACAAUUACGAAAUAACCUUCCUUGUCAGAUAUUACUGGUCUAAGUUUAUGCUCCACAAGGUAAUCAACUAACGGUCGGACAGGGUCAGACGUCUUAAAAUGAGAAUUUGAUUGUUUAAUGCUAGCAAUGCAAUCCGAAACACAGCGUGAGCGUUCUUCUUCCGGGACGAACCUGGUUAUUCAGCGCGGUAUGCUUAAAACGUCAACGGGUUUUAUGUUAGGCUUAAAACAGUGCUUAGGACCUAAAGCAAGGGUUCUUCUAUGGUUAUC
rnacentral:lncRNA from 1 species